AUUGAACGCUGGCGGCAGGCUUAACACAUGCAAGCCGGGCGGAGAGAGGUAGCUUGCUACUGAUCUUAGCGGCGGACGGGUGAGUAAUGCUUAGGAAUCUGCCUAUUAGUGGGGGACAACAUUUCGAAAGGAAUGCUAAUACCGCAUACGUCCUACGGGAGAAAGCAGGGGAUCUUCGGACCUUGCGCUAAUAGAUGAGCCUAAGUCGGAUUAGCUAGUUGGUGGGGUAAAGGCCUACCAAGGCGACGAUCUGUAGCGGGUCUGAGGGGAUGGUCCGCCACACUGGGAGUGAGACACGGCCCAGACUCCUACGGGGGGCAGCAGGGGGGAAUAUUGGACAAUGGGCGGAAGCCUGAUCCAGCCAUGCCGCGUGUGUGAAGAAGGCCUUAUGGUUGUAAAGCACUUUAAGCGAGGAGGAGGCUACUUUAGUUAAUACCUAGAGAUAGUGGACGUUACUCGCAGAAUAAGCACCGGCUAACUCUGUGCCAGCCGCCGCCGUAAAAC
rnacentral:rRNA from 1 species